rnacentral:rRNA from 1 species
GAUGAACGCUGGCGGCGUGCCUAAUACAUGCAAGUCGAGCGAACAGACGAGGAGCUUGCUCCUCUGACGUUAGCGGCGGACGGGUGAGUAACACGUGGAUAACCUACCUAUAAGACUGGGAUAACUUCGGGAAACCGGAGCUAAUACAGGAUAAUAUAUUGAACCGCAUGGUUCAAUAGUGAAAGACGGUUUUGCUGUCACUUAUAGAUGGAUCCGCGCCGCAUUAGCUAGUUGGUAAGGUAACGGCUUACCAAGGCAACGAUGCGUAGCCGACCUGAGAGGGUGAUCGGCCACACUGGAACUGAGACACGGUCCAGACUCCUACGGGAGGCAGCAGUAGGGAAUCUUCCGCAAUGGGCGAAGGCCUGACGGAGCAACGCCGCGUGAGUGAUGAAGGUCUUCGGAUCGUAAAACUCUGUUAUUAGGGAAGAACAAAUGUGUAAGUAACUAUGCACGUCUUGACGGUACCUAAUCAGAAAGCCACGGCUAACUACGUG